rnacentral:lncRNA from 1 species
CACAGCCACCUUACGUGAGUUCAACUUCUCUAACAAAACGUCUUUAUUGUGCACGUCGGACAUCGUGCUGUUCAUAUGUGAUGGGAUGCCUUCGUGCCAUUGAUAUAUAUGUGUCUCGACCAUCGUGCCGUUGAGAUGUGGUGGACGGCCAUCGUGCCGUUAGUUUUCUUGCAGGUUUUGGAAACCCCAGGUAUAGGGGAGGUGUUGCCGAAUUUUUUAUGUGUCUAGGCUUAGAUUACAAAUUUAUAACAAAUUUUUGACUUUACUAAGCCUAGAUUACAAUUUUAUGCCUUAGUAUAAGUACUAAUUUUUCUUCUCCUUUGUGCAGGUUCAAUCGGCGGGUUCGAAUGAGGUGCCUCCGUCCGGAGGGUUAGCGAAUCCACCACUUCUACAGCUUCAGCCACCGUCGAGUGGGUCGGGGUAUGGGUAUCCACCACGUGCGCCUCCGUCGCAGCAGCUGCCUCCAGGAGGGGCAAAUUGGGAUGCAUGGCAGCAGUGAACUUGUGGAUGUUGUGAAACUUUGAGAUACUUUAUGAUAUUUUGAGAUAAUGUGAUGGACAUGGUAUGGAUAUUGUGAUACACUUUGUUAAUAUAUGUGAUGGACAUGUUGGUUUUGCAAUUUGAGUUGGAUGUGUUAUAUCUGUUAAUUGUUAAUAUGUGUUUUAUCUGUGAAUAAUAGCUGGAAUCAAAACAGAAUUAAAAAAAGCUCUCUGGAGCCUUUGCCGAGAGCUAAACGUUUGCCGAGAGCCGAAACUGCACGGCUCUAUGCAAAUCCUGGACCUUAGCCGAGAGGCCAGCUCUCGGCAAAGAGUCAGUCUACCGAGAGCCAAGCUCUAAGCUCUCGGCAAAUUAACUGUUUGCCGAGAGGCGAGCUCUCGGCAAAGCCCUGUAAAAAAUGGUGGAAUCCUUCUUUCAUUUUUUUAAAAAGUCUUUGCCGAGCUGGGCUCUCGGCAAACCUCAAUAUAAAAUAAAUUUUGCAAACCAGCUCGACUGCCAUUCUUUUUCUUUUUUUUACAAAAAUUAUUUACCAAGCGGGGCUCUCGGCAAAGAAGUUCGAAAAGUUGUCAGAACUGACCGUUAACGGUCGUUUUGGCCGUUACUAGCGCUAACGUUCGCCGAGAGCUAUAGUUUGCCGAGAGGUGGACUCCAUGUGCUCGGGAACAAUUUUCCCGAGAGCGGCUCUCGGCAAACGAUCCUUUGCCGGUAGCUUGUUUGUCGGCGUUUCUUUGGCGAGAGCUGCUCUCGGCAAAAUGUUUGCCGAGUGUGUUUGCCCAUUUGCCGAGCGUUCUAAGCUCUCGGCAAAGGACUGGAAUCCGGUAGUCUAUGUAGGGCCAUGUUCAGUUGUUAGCCAUAGUUUUUGCUACUGCGAGUAGAAUACACAGGCACAUAUAUGGUGUCACAAAUAUUUUAUUAGUUUUGUGGAUUAAAUUAUGUCUAAAAUUUCCUAAAUAUCUUUUUUUAGAAUUACACAGUACAACAUAGAAGCCUAACACGCACGCACACUCACCCGUAAACUCUACCCGGCCUAUAAGCAAUUCCGAAGGACUGAGUUGACAGAUCUUGAGAUUCAUGAAGUCACCACAUGUGUCUUGCUGUUGACGGGGACAUCGCUUAAUACUGAAAAGCACAUAUAUAGCGUCAUUAAAUCCUAAAAAAAUCUAGAAAAUGCGAAACGCAUGUACUAAACACGAGCACUUUAAUUAGCUCGGGUGGACAGAUUCUACCGUAAGGAAUCCAACCAACUCAUUUAUGAUCAAUUCACAAAAUUACCUAAAUAUCUAACGAUCAAUCUCGGCUGCAUCACUUUUUGCUACAGAUGAAAAAACCUGUAGAAGCCCUGACAAAGAGGACGUAAUUAUACCGAAAUCAAAGUGAAGCGCGCGUAGUGUCUCAGCUGCUUUUAUCUCUGCAUGCUUUGGUAUUGAAGAAGCAACACAGCAUGGCAAAAGGCAUGUAGUAAUACAUGUAUACAACACAAAACGUACCCACCAGUUAUGCAAACUAAAGCUUAACAAUCUUCAGACCCGCAGUUUCCCAAAAGUACAUACUACGUACUCCUAGGUGGUAGCUACAGCAAAAAGUAAUUAAUUACUUAGCCAAUAUAAUACAAGCAACUAGUACCCAGCUAGAUGCAGGAGUAGGGAUAGUAGGGGUAUACAUGCAUGGGAUGGAGCAAAUACUACUACUAGAGAAGCUGGCCGCCGAUGAAUGCCCACCAGCGCAACCAGUCUACAGAUCAUGGCGCGCAAUCUUUCAGGCGGAGGUUUUCAUGGCGGCUGCGGGCAUGCUGCUCUUUUUCGAGCUAGUGUGCGGUUCUCUCCGGCGACGAAGCAACAACUCGUUUGUCCACCGGGGGCUAUGGGUGGCCUACACCCUCCUUCCCCUUCUCAUCACCUACACCCUCGGCCUGAUGCAGUCCGCUCAUGCCAAAGUGCUCAUGUAUCCCGUGUGGGCGCUGUCCCUGAUGAUCGCCGGAGGCGCCACCUCCAUCACCGCCCAUGACCUCGACGACAACAAGCAGUGGAAGCGAGCUCUGUUCGUCAUUCUCCAGUAUGACAUGUACUUCUGCAUAAUACUGUUUCAGCUGGUGUACCCCAACCCCAACCAGCAGAUAAGCGUCGCCCACGCAGCGACCCCCGUCCUGGACAGCAUAAAGCUUCUGCUAUGGCACCCCAUCGCCGUCCCCGUCUUGCUCCUCUUCACCACUGUCUGCAUUGCCCAUACCUUUGGAGCAAUCGCUGGCUGGAGGGCCAACUACUCCUACCCUAGCAAAAUGGUUGCCGACUACAUGAAGCGUCAUGCCGCUGCAGCGGCAGCGGCAUCCAGAUCAAGAUCACCAUCAUCGUCGUCGUCGUCAGGCCGAGGCUACUUGGAUCCUGUCAGCAUGAAGUACUUGGUCAGCUGGCCGGCCUACAAGGUAUCCCGCACUACAGCACCAAGUGGCCAUAGGAGCUCCUCCACUGUCUCCAGAAUGAUGAGAUGCCAAGCGCAAGCGGUGGCAGAAGAGGACGACGAAGGGCUCAUCACUGUGGAGAAGAUCGGGGACUGGUGCUGCAGGAACGAAGACAAGUUCAGGUCAUGGGGCGUCAGCACGUCCCGGAUCAAAGGCGCCUGCCUUGCAUAUUCCCUGUCUCACCUGCUGAUGCGCCGCUUCUUCGGGAUGGAUUGCGCGGAGGCAAGCCUUCCGGAGACGCGCCACUUCGUGCUUCGAGGGCUGCUGUCAGAGAGCAACACUGACGAGUACAUCAAGGCAUUCAGGGUGAUCGAGGUAGAGCUAGCAUUCCUGUACGACUUCUUCUACACCAAGUACGCAUUGAUCUUUGGGAUGGAAGGGUUCUUCUUUCUCAUGGUCCUAGUGAAGAUAGUAUGCGCAUCCACCAUUGGAGUACUUAUGCUCUACAGACCAUUUGCCCAAGGUUUUCCCCAGUGCUGGUACGGUGACAUUGUCAUCAGCCCUAGCCUGACUAGUGUCAACAUCACAGUCGCAAUCAUCGCAAUAUUCCUUACAGUAGAAGCACUGCAGUUCGUACUGUACAUGGGAUCGGAUUGGGCCAUGGUAUCACUCGCCUGCUGCCAUAUCACCGAAGGAAGGCCCCAUGGAUAUAUCCCACUAUCAUUUCGCAAGCUGUUUGGGUUUCUUUUCAGUAGGCAGAGGCUACCGUUAUUCGGGUAUUGGCAGAAUAAACUAGGCCAGUACUCUGUCAUACAAGGCUCCAGAUUCUUCAGCUCUAGCAACCAAUUUGCUUUCGAAUGUAGUGGCCUGACCACGUUCAUCCUUUCCAAAGCCAUUGCUUACCUGGGUCAAUGUGUGGUCAGUCUGUUUUCAAGCCAAGGUCUGCAUUUUGUCAAGUUACCUGAAAUAAUCAAGAGCCAUAUUGGAUCCACACUGAAAUCCAGUACUGACGAUGGUGGCUACCUGACUAACGGGAAAACGUCGUUGCAGCGCAACCAUGUUCUUGGGAAUUUCUCCUGGACAUUGCAGAAUGAGACUCAGACUGAGAGCAUGCUUAUUUGGCACAUUGCAACUGACUACUGCAGCAUCAUGGUGUCUGACGAGGGAAACAGCAGGCAGAUUUCUAAUUCCAGCUAUCGUCAGCACCGUGAGGUGGCAACCAAAUUGUCAUGCUACUGUGCGUACCUGAUGUCUAAUGUUCCCCAGCUGCUUCCGGGGAACUCUGUAGAUACCAAAUUUGUGUUCGACCAAGCUAUGUACCAAGCCAGAGAAGCACUGGGAACCAAGAAGCGUGAUAGAGCUGGAUUGCGGAAUGCCGCCGCCACUGUCAUCAGCAACCAAGAUGAAGGCAGUAGCAAUAGCAUCUUCACCAAAGGUCUCAAGCUUGGAGCUGAGCUUGCGAGCAUACAAGAUGAUUGCCUGCGAUGGAGAGUGGUGGCCGAGUUCUGGGUAGAAACCAUCCUCUACAUUGCACCGUCAGAGAACGCCAAGGCGCACAUGGAGUGCCUACCGCAAGGUGGGGAGUUUCUCACGCACCUCUGGGCUCUCCUCACUCACGCCGGUAUCCUCAGUCGACAGUCGCCACCGGCCGGAGCCGGAGCAAACCCAAGAGGAUGAUGCCAGGCCACUACAUCUACAUGAGAGUAUUCGCUACUGCAGUUCAUGACUGUUGCCUCGUUGUUGUACUGAUGAAGUAGUUCAGUGUUUCAGUCUGCAUCUGUGUUGUCGCUUGUGAUACUCCUGUAUUAUGCCUUGACCUUUGUAGGUUCGGUGUCUUUCUCCCCUAUAUGUUUGUUGUAGGGGGUUGUUUCUCCCUGUUUGUGUGUUGGUGGUGUUUGUGUUCUUUUCUUGCCUCCAUUACUUUGUAACUCUGGGUUACCAUUUGCCGAUUUGGGGAUAGUUCAUUCCCCUGAUGAUUGCCUAAAAAUUGUUGUAUUAUAUUGCUUCCACCAUGACAAAUGGAAGCUCAUGCUUGUGAUUUGCUAACAUAUUUAUUUUAUAUUUUUUAGAGAAAACAAGAGGGAUUGAAGGCCGAUCCCUACUGACAUAUAUUAAAGCAAAGAAAACAAAGUUACAAAAAUGCAUAGAGGCUAAGGAAGAAAUUUAAGAUACAAAGAAGAUGAGACAGAUACACAAGCUGCUCUAGCCAUAAGGAAAUGAAUGGGAGAUAAUUUUUCUUCGCGUGAAGAAUAACUAAGUGGUCUCCUUGAAUAGAAAUUUGAAGCGCUCCAAAGAGGCAGCUUCUCCUCUAAAGAUGAGAUUAUUAAUGACAGUCCGGAUGCUCCAACACAUCAAAGUAAUAUCUCCAUGAAGAAUGAGACUCUUUAACUGUGAUCUGAAACUUUCCAAAGUCUGGAUGAGAUCCAGUGAAGUUGGCACAAGCACCACGAUAUAAUUCAACAAGAUCUAGCAAACCUACAUUGCAAAAAUGGAUGUUCUACUAUUUCCUCACAAGAAUCGCCACAAAGAACACAAUCAAAGGAUUGAUGUAUAUGCUUCCAUUUAAGUAUAUUUCUUGUACUCAGCCUGUCUUGAGCCAACACAUCACGUACUCCAUGACGGCGGCAUCACACGGCACCAUGAUCCUGAGGAGAUAGGAGGACUCAUGAGUGAGCUCGAGAGCCCCUGCGCGGGCGACGGCGAGGCGGCCGGCGUCUCAACGCCCCCGCCCCCGCCUUCUUCGCCGCCCCCGCCUACUCCACCACCACCGCCUCUCCCGCCACCCCCUCCACUUCAACCUGAGCCCCAACACCCUGGUUUUCGCCGCCUUCCGCUGGAGCCGUCAGGUUCGGCGGACCUUGGUGCCUCCGACUGGGUGCCUCAACGGCGUUGCGUCAUCGUGCAGCCUGCGCCCUCCAGGUUUGAGCUUCAGAACCGUCUCCUCUCCGAGCUUCACGAUUGCAUCGUCCCCAACCUCCUGUGCCCCUCGCCGGCCCCGGCGCAGCUCUGGGUAACUCCACCUUCCCUUGACCCCCGGUUCAAUGUUUUCUUCAUCAAGAAUGCUCUCUGCCAUAUGCUUGCACCUCGUCCGAGUCGCCUCUGUGUCCAGCGUCUACUCGAUGCCGUGUUCGUGGUGACGGUCUCUAGCAAGAAGUUCUCCGACGCGUUAGUUGUCGUCGGCGAGCUGCGUGUCGCCGACGUGCGCCUGGUUUUCCACCCUUCCAUGGCUUCGGCCAUGAAAGCGGCGUCCUGUCUACCCCCGUUCUGCGCGAAUUCAAAUCGCCCCGUUCAAACGGCUGCUCGCCCUGACACUGUAAUGGCUGCCAACGGCCCGGCGUUGACAUUCAUUUCGCCCACCUCCUCUCGCCCAUCGGAUUUUCAGGGGAUUCGUCUGGGAACCAUACCACAAAAUCUUUUGAGUGUACCCGUCUGUACCCCUUCGGCUGUGCAGGGUACGAGGGGCGCCGCGCGACGUCCUGUCGCAUCUACUGCGGCAAAGGGAAGCGCCUUCACUGCCCACCAGCCACGCAGCUACCUUGAGGCCGCGCUUUCCCCCGCUGUACCGCAACCCAGGGCGACCAAACCUCCGCCUCCUCUAAACCCUGCUAAGGGCUGCUACCGCUGCCUCGCCUCUGAUCACAAGGUGGACGCCUGCCGCGACCCCAUCCGCUGUCGUCUCUGCCGCGCGUCCGGCCACAAAAGCGACCGCUGCACGAUGAGGCUUCGUGGGCUUCUCCGCGCCGCGGCCCGAAAGCUGCGUGUUCCAGCUUCUGCCCGAGCACGCUCAGCCCCCCCCCCCCCCCCGGCGCCCCUAGACGAGCCUCCGACCGACUUCGCCUUACAACCUACGGCAGACACGCCGAUCGAGCUCUCUCUCAGCGCCUCGGCUGCCUACCACCACGACAACAUGCGGCCAUCUUCUUCCUCUACGCCGGCACCAGUUCCUGACGCCGCGACAGAGGUCCCACCCUGCGUCGACAAGUUCAUCGUUGGCUCGCCCAGGCUGUUGCCGUUGUGCGCAGGGGGACCCGAGCGGUCGUCCACCCUCGCGCUUGACUCCGGCGGCGCCUCGGAGCGGGGCACCCAAAUCGUCAGCGAACCUCAAGCCUCGUCAGGGGAGGAGUACGCCAGCGGGGAAAUGGACUCCGGCUCUGACGCCUCCGGCGAUUCUUGGGAAGAGGGCCGCACACGCCACGCCGAAGCUUGGGUGUCCCCGGGACGUCCUGAGCUCUCCGAGCGCCUGCUGUUCGCCUUCAUCGAGCCGCCGGUGCCCAUGCUAAACGUAAGCUCCUUCAUCCGUGAGGCCCUCCGCUCGGUCGCACCGCUGCUGCCGGUGGACCUUCUACCUUCCUCCAUGGGCGCCAUGUUGCUUCGCUGUGAGUCCCACGAAGCUCGGAACUCCCUCCACCUGCUCGGACCUAUCCAUUGUGGAGGGUCCAUGCUGCAUCUCUACAAGCCGGAAGACACGCCCAACCGCUUCUUCCGUGUGCCCGUCUGGCUGGCGUUUGUCUUCGUCGUUGGCUUCCCCAACGAACAUUGGUACGAGGACAAAAUCAAGGACUGCUUCCGGGGGUUUGCGGAGGUGGCCGAAGUUGACCCUGAGUACCUGACCGGGGAAAACUUUGGUCCACUUCGGCUGCUCCUGGAGGUGAACGACCGCCUCGACAUCCCCCGCGAACUACGCAUCUCAAGCCGCCUUGGCGUCGGCAGGGCCGGAGCAGUUGCCACCGUUAUCCCGAUUAGAGUCUGGCCUCGUGAAUUCCAGCUCGACAGUCGGGGCAACCGAGUCACCUUCUUCGGACCUCCGGCGCCGCCGGGAACGGGGCCCGCUCUAGGGCCAAUGGGUCCCGUGAGCAGCCAACAACAGCUACGCCCACAACCUCACUACUUCAACUUGGGCUUCCCGCCGAACUCCAGCUCUAGGUACGCGGGUAACCUGCAGCGCGCCUUCGACCCUCUUCACUGCUCGGCUGUUUCAGGCACUGCGGCGUCCUCGACCCCGGCUGUCCAGGUCAUGGCCAGUGCCUUGCUGCUGGCGAGACUCAUGGCCGGCCCUCCGGACGGUGCUGCCUCGGCAAGGGAGGGCUCGCCGGUCUCAUCGGCGCCGCGCGGGCCUCAGCCGUGCGCCGACCCCGGCCAGGCUGCGGUCGCUCAAAGGCCGCUCAUCACUUACCAGAGGCGUCAACGGUUGCCCAAAGCAGCGCACGCUUCAAGCAAGGCGUGCAAGGUCCAGUCAAGGGCCUGCCGUGAGUCGCCCGUGAAAGGUCCGCGCCGUUCCAGCAAGCGCCUGGCUGCCAAGGCGACGGACCACUACAUCGACAUGACUUCACAGGCUGUUCAGUGCAAGGCGCUCUUCAACUCCCUCUCCACCUGCUCUCUCUCUCUAAAGGCGCAUGUCAAGAAGCGGAACAUCCUCUCCCGCAACCUACUGCCCCUGGGAGCGGCAGAACUGCGCAAGCUCAUCUCCGCAGCCAAGAUUGGCAACGGCGGCGACACUGGUGCAGCGGCAUCGGGCGUCACGGUGCCUGCGGUGGCUGAAUGAUCACUCCUAAACGCUUCCACCCCACUGGCGGCUUGCACCCAGGCGCCAACGGCCGCUGGCACGCUCCCAGCCGAAGUGCACCUACCUGUUCUUCUACUAUUUUGGCUUCGCAAUGGCCUUUUGUUCUAUCCAGGUGUUGUAACGUUAACGCAUGAACUCGAGCUUGUUUUCUCGCUGCUUUCACGUUGUGUCUUGGAACGUUAGAGGCUUGGGCGACUCGGACAAGUGCAAAAUUGUGCGCAAUGUGUUCUCUGAUGCUAACCCGCAUGUCAUCUGCAUUCAAGAAUCUAAGCUGUCUAACACUGACUUCUUCAAAGCCCAAACUUUCCUUCCUCAACCUUUAUCCUCCUCGUUCGUGGCCGUUCCGUCUGAUGGCUCGCGUGGAGGACUGCUCACUGCAUGGGAUCCGUCCCUCUUCACCAAAAACUCCCACUUCUCCAACUCCUACUCUUUAACAACCUCCUUCUCUUGCAAUGCCUCCAACCUCGAUUUCUCAAUCACCAACGUGUAUGGCCCUUCGGACCACACCUUCUCCCUCGCCUUCCUCCAAAACCUCAAAGAUGUCAGCAACGCGGUCUCGGGGCCUUGGAUUCUCCUGGGAGAUUUCAACCUCGUUAGAUGCGCUCAGGACAAAAGCAAUGGCCGGAUCAAUUCGGCCCUUGCCGACGCCUUCAACCAAACGCUACAACAACUCGUCGUGUCCGAGAUUCACCUUUCCGACCGACGUUUCACCUGGUCCAACAAACAGAGCUUCCCGAUCUUGGCUAAGCUGGACAGGGUCUUCACAAAUGUUGCCCUUGACCUCGCCUUCCCGAUGGCAGGUCUGACCUCCCUGCCCAGGCCAACCUCCGAUCACACCCCUUUGCUCCUCUCGCUCACCACCAACAUUCCCAAAGCGACAUCCUUCAAACUCGACAACCACCUGCUUAAAAACCAAAGCUUCCUGAGCUCCGUAACCUCGGCUUGGCAGCAGGUUGCACCCUGCAGUGAUGCCACAGGGCACCUAGUCACUUGCAUCAAGGCCACCCGGGCCGCGGCAAAGGUUUGGAAACGGCGUUACAGGGCGCCACCACAAAUCCUACAAAACUGCAAGUUUUUAAUCCAACUGUUUGACUUCUUUGAGGAAACAAGAUCUUUGUCCACCGGCGAGUUUCAGGUACGGUGUCAAGCACAAGAACGUCUGCAUGAAGAGACCAAAGCAAGGGCCGCCUACUGGCGCCAAAGAAGCAAGCAAAAAGCAAUUAAGGAAGGCGAUUCAAACACUGCCUACCACCAUGCCCAUGCAACCAACCGCAUGCGUCGUAAGUUUAUCAGGAUGAUAAAGGUGGACGAUCAAGAAAUCGCCAGCCAUGCAGGCAAAACACAGGCUCUCUCCACUUACUUCAAGUCCAUCAUCGGGGUUCAAGGAAUGGCACUUGACAUGGACCUGCAAUCUAUCUAUGUGGGUUCUGAAAGGCCAGGGAGCGACCUGAUAAGGGAGUUUUCAGAAGGCGAGCUCAAGCAUUCAGUUUGUCAGAUGAAUCAGCUCAGUGCACCGGGACCGGACGGUUUUGGACCUGCUUUUUUCAGGGUGGCAUGGCACACAGUCCGGACUCAAAUCUUGGCCUUCGCCGAAGCUUUCCACAGAGGGACAGCUGAUCUGGAGCGCAUCAAUCGCUCAUUCAUAGUACUUCUGCCAAAGAAGCCAGAUGCGGUCGAAGUAGAUGCUUUCAGACCGAUUUGCCUUCAGAACACGGCACUUAAGAUCAUCUCAAAGGCUCUUACUACUAGGCUUCAACUUGAGAUUCCGAAGCUUAUCGACAUUCAUCAGACAGGAUUUGUGAAAGGAAGAUCAAUAGCCGACACCUUCGUCUAUGCACUAGAGCUUGUUCAGACCUGCCACAAGAGGAAAAGGCCUGCAAUUGUACUCAAGCUCGACUUCGCAAAGGCUUUUGACACCGUAAACUGGGCAGGGCUGGUUUCAGUCCUUCAAGCAAGGGGCUUCCACCAGAGGUGGAUCGAUUGGAUGCUCAGUCUCCUAGCGUCCUCCAAAUCUGCCGUUAUUGUGAAUGGUUGCCCGGGUCCUUGGAUUAACUGCAAGCGAGGACUGAGGCAGGGGGACCCUCUGUCCCCAUACCUGUUUCUUCUGGUGGCUGAGACUCUACAACGUAUGAUCAAUAAAGCAGAUGAAAUCAGACAUCCAACGGAAGGCAACCUCCCCUGUGCUGUCCUUCAGUACGCCGAUGAUACCCUGAUUGUGUUCAGAGCUGAAGCCUCGGCAGCAAUCAAAUUGAAGGAAAUCCUGGAUCAGUUUGCAGCCAUGUCUGGCUUGCACAUUAACUUCAGCAAGAGCACUCUGGUACCGAUUCAUGCAGACGCCCGGUUGGUGCAACAAUGUGUUCAGGUGCUGGGCUGCAGUGAGGGCUCCUUCCCGCAGCAGUACUUGGGACUUCCGCUAUCGGCCAACAAGCUGCCUGUUUCUGCCUUCAACAUAUAUAUACAAAAAACCGACAAGUUUCUUGCAUCCUGGCAGGCUGACCUGUUAAACCCUAUGGGAAGGCUUGUCUUGGUCAAUUCGGUUCUUGACUCAAUCCUUGUCUACUUGAUGAGCUCAGCUUCCUGCGACAGCAGUGCACAGCAUGGAUAAGAAAAGGAGAGCAUUCCUCUGGUCUGGGGAUAAGGCGGGAAUCGCGACACCGGCGAACUGCCUGGUUGCCUGGACAAGUGUCUGCAGCCCCAGGGAGUGCGGCGGCCUGGGAGUCAGGGACUUGGGGGUCCAAAACAUCUGUCUUCUACUGAAACUGCUUCACAGACUGCAUUGCCCCCAAUCUUCCGCAUGGGCUGAAUGGGUGCAGCGUCGGGCUUCAAUAUCAACUCUGACCGGUGAACUGCAUGGGGAUCACUGGCAGACCUUGCGAUCCAUCAUCCCUCUAUACCAGGCGAUCACCACUGUUCAAGUCGGCGAUGGAAAAUGCACCUCGUUCUGGUACGAUGUCUGGAACGACAGUGACGAAGCUCUGGCUGAUAGGUUCCCUGCACUUCUGUCACAUUGCUCUUCCAAACAUGCCACGCUUUGGGAGAUCAAAUCCUCGGGCCUACAGUCUGCUUUGGUCCCCCGUCUCUCAACAGCAGCGGAAAAUGAGCGGCAACUGGUGCUUCAGGUCAUCGAAGAAACGGCCUUAUCUGAAACCCAUGACAAGAGGAUCUCACCUUUCAUCAGGCCUGAUAACAGCCUUGACAGCGGUGCACUCUACAAGAUGAUCAAAGCUAGAGGCCAGGGAGACAGCCCGCGGGCAACCUUCGUUUGGCAGAACCUGGCUCCGCCGAGAGUGCGACUGUUUUUGUGGCUACUAACACAACGGAGAAUUCAGUGUCGUUCGGUGUUACAAAGAAAAGGCAUUGUUGAUUCCGCAACUUGUGAGGUCUGCAGUGCUGCGGACGAAACGCCUGAACAUAUCAUCCAUGGUUGUGCUCUCGGCCGAGACGUUUGGGCGAGCUUGAACCUACAGUCCAUAGUCUCAGUGGACAUGGGCGAGCUUCACUCAUUCAAAGGUCAUCCUUCGAACUAGAUUUCAGAGCUACCUUCCUUCCUGACCUUGGUUUGCUGGAACAUCUGGAAGGCAAGGAAUGCGAAAAUCUUCAGGAACCAAGCUCAAACGGUACAUCAUGUGCUUCAGGAAUGCAUCUCCGCUUCCAUUCUGUGGAGGCACAGAUUUCCAAUGAAGAAAAGAAUCGUCUCCGACCAGUGGUGCUCCAUUCUACAAAUGGCCAGAGCAGGGCUUACCUAAUUCCGGGGCUUAUACAAAAGCAAGGAGAUGGCUGUCAUCUUCUGUUUCCUGUCUUCCUCCAACUUGUUUCCUCUGCUUCUUCGAUAGCUCUCACUAGCUCUAGUUGGUUUUACUCUAGCAACAAACGUUGCUCUGCAUCUGUAACAACACAAUCGUGCGAGCCGAUUCUGGGCUAAAAUAAUUUUAAACAGGUGGGGAACGUCUCCCCCCCGUUGACCGUUAAAAAAAAAGCCAGAAAAAGACUUUAUGUUUGUGUUGGCAGCAUGAUCUCCAGGUCCACUUAAAGACAGGGUGAACAUUACAAGUUUCCAUUAGAUGCUUGUAAGCUUUUGACGAAGAAUAAGAAUUAGAGGCCCAAAUGUAAUUCCAGAUAUCACUAUCCUCAGACUCUGGUAAACUCUGGAUAGCAGAUUCUAGCAAAAAGUAUUCUUUCAAAAAAAACUAAGGGCCAAGUAGCUUUAGAAUUCCCUCUAUUAUUACUGCCAGCCCCUUUCCAAAGACAGUUUUUCCUAUAUUUAUCUAUCUGACCUAUCACAGUGUCUUGUAAAGCAAAGGUGCACAUGAAAAAGGUUGGAAGUGCAGUGAAAACUGAAUUCGUUAUCUAGAGCCUUCCAACUAAAGAAAGAAAAAUGAAGGUCCUAACAAACCUUUUUCACAUCUUGAGAUGAGUGGUAAGUAAUCAUUGGUCCUUGUCUUGGUGGAGCCCAAAGGCAAACCAAGAUAAGUAAAAGGCAUACUUCCAGUAGAACACCCAUAGGUGAGAGCAAGAUGCUUUAGUUUCUCAGGGCUCAUGUUUAUGAUAAUCAUCAAUGACUUCUUGAAAUUAACUUUCGGUCCAGUUGAGAGAGUAAAAGAAUUCAGGAGAGCCUUCAUGACAAAAAGUUGCCUUCCACAUCCUCCAAGAAUAGUUAAUGUAUCGUCAGCUAGUGUAAGAUGGGGAAAUCUAAGGAAUACUGAAGGCGAACUCGCAAAUUGAGAAGUGCUUGUUCUUUGGCUCUAUUAAUUAUAUACUGCAGCAAGCACAAAUAGGAGGGGGGAAAGAGAAUCCACUUGUCUCACACCCUCUUGCAAUGAGAUUGUUUUCGACUUCUGCGAGUAUAUAGUCCAUCAUAUAGUGCUACUGGACCUGUUCUCGUACUCGGGUUAUGUACCUUUGUUUGCUUUCCUCUUAAUGAAAAACGGGCACCAACCCGAUAAAAAAAAGCAGGAAUAAAAUUACUACUCACGACUAAUUAAAAUUCCUGAUUUUUGCGUGACCGCACUCUCUCUUCAUUUCGAACACAAUACUCAAUACCCGCAUAGAUAAUCUACAAUAUUUAUCCUCAUGUAAUAAAUUUAUUAUUAAUUAUUCAAGGUUGUUUGUUCCCAGCCAUAAUUUGCCACAGCAAACUUCAGACAAUUAUGGCUAAAAUAUUUGGAGCCACGUUUUACCAUGCCUACGGAAAUUGUCACUUUUUUCUUUCUUUUUUUUCUCUAUGACACGUGGAUCCCACAAAAGUCUUACCAGUCAAACUAUCUAAGAUGAAGUGUGUGGCUAGCUAGAAACCAAACAUCCCCUAAAGUCUAUCAUCCCAUACUCCGGCACGACGUAGAAUGUCAGGUUAUAUAAGUAUUACAAUUUUCGUUCAUAAAAAAAAUGUAAGUAUUACAAUUUUUGUGGAUAACUUUAGUAGGUAAAAUUAAGUUAAGUUGAUUCUUUACUCUCUUGUUUCCUAAUUGUUAGGGCCAUAUGCCCUUCAUGGGUUCUCCUGUUCAUUUUGCUAACCCAUGCUCGGCUUGACAAUACUCACAACUUACACUCUAUUUGGCACUGCUCCAAUUUACUAAUGGAGCUAUCUUUUUAGCUUCAGCCUUACGACCAGCUCUGCUGAUGGAGCUGAAGUUAUUUUGAUUACCUAUUUGGUAAAACAACUCCCAUGUUAGAAAAAAAAACAAAAUAACCAUAAUAUUCUUCUCUACAUUUUUUCUCAUAUUUUCUCCUCUAUUUCCUUCCUCUCUAAUCGACUCGACCCUUCCUCUAAGCACGGCCAUCUUCUUCAUCACAAAAUGGGCAACGGCGCCCGCGAGCUCCCUGACAACCUAUGCCUACUUGUGUGCGCCACGGCGGCUACACCCGCACGUCGUGCUCCAGCAAACAACUCGUUGCUCGGAACAUACCACCAGAGAUCUGGAGCAUCAAGAAGCUGGAAAUGUUUGUUGUGGAGAUGAACAACCUCACGGGACAUCUGGUGGUUGACGGCUUUGAGGCGAUGAGCUUGAUCGUUACAGCAUCUCCAAUGGUAGGAACCCUAAACUACUUAUUGGCUACAAAACUUUUUUUGAGGGUUUUCAAAGGCUCUAUCUCUAGCAGAAUGAGAAAAAUCUCAUUCUCAGGCCUUGUUUACUUCCCCAAAUAUUUUGCAAAAUAUUCAGGAUUCUCCGUCACAUCGAAUCUUUCGGCACAUGCAUGGAGCAUUAAAUAUAGAUAAAAAAAUAACUAAUUGUAUAGUUCGUAUGUAAUUUGUGAGACGAAUAUUUUGAGUCUAGUUAGUCCAUAAUUGGACAACAAUUAUCAAAUACAAACAAAAAUACUACAGUAGCAUUUUGCAAAAAAAAAAUCAAGAAGUAAACAAGGCCUCAAUAUAUUGUUUAAUAUGUGGUGUGUACUUGUCAUUCUAACUUCCCCACUGCUUCUUUUUCUCCCUAUAAUCUGAGCGACAUUGACAUCCGCCGUCACCACGACUCCUCCGUCGCUCCUCUCCCCACUGACUUCUUUAUUUCUCCCUUCCACUCCUAUCAACGCAUCCACCCCUCCUCUUCCUAUCCCACUACUUGAAGACUCCUCCCAUCACUCAAGUUGCAGCAAAGGCCUUCUUCCCUGGCCCCAGUCAUGGCACCCGCGGCUAACUCCUCCCCUACCAGCGGCCUAUUUCUCUCCCUAGCGACGUAUGGCAUCACCACCGCAAGUGGAUCUGGUGCGGCAUGAUGCGGAGGAGCUCCUCCAUCUCCAUCGCCAGCACCGCGAGCCUACCAGCACCAACAGCGUACGACACCACCAUCGCUCCUAGACCUAGCGCGGCAGUUGGAGCUCACAUCAAAAAUCUCAGGCAUUGGCGGGAGAGAGAUUUCCCUUGUCUUUGAGGGGUUGGAAGAUGGUUUUCAAGGUACUAAGGAAAAAAAAUCUCAUUGGGAUGCGAAUGGGGAUCUACUGGAGCUCUCAAAUCCAUCAAAAUAUAGGUUUUUCUAUCUACUGGAGCUCUCAAAUCCUUCAAAAUACAGGUUUUUCUCGUUGGGGAUAGGAAUUAGUGUACUGCUGAAGAUGCUCUUAUCUCCAUCUUAAAAGAACCACCUUACUGGUACCAUCCUGGAAACCUUCGGUCACUUGAAGAACCUCGCUGACUUAUACCUUACAGCAACAACUUCAUCGGUGAGAUACCCGUGAGCAUCGAUCGGUUACCGUCAUUCAAUAACAGGCUUCCUGGUAUGCUCCCGGAAAAACUCGGCAAGUACUCACCAGUAUUUUCAGCCAUGGCUUUUCAAACCAGCGAGUCAUGACUGAAAAUACUGUUUACUGAUUUGUUAUAAAAGAAAAACAGAAAAAAUACGGCAUAUAAAACAAGCAAACAGGCUUCGCUACUCACUGCAUCAAGCAACCGCUUGAAUGGCUCCAUCCCACUGAAGCCUCGCUCGCUGUGCCUCUGAAAUAUCUAAUCCUAGACAGCAACCAGCUCUCCGGCGACAUACCAACAGAUUUGGCGAUGGCACACCAUUGCUUAAGCAACUGAAGCUGGCCAACAAAAAACUCUCCGGGAGGAUCUGUUAAGCUAAUCUGCAGAAGCUCCGUCGACGUACCAACUUCCCAGGUGACUAUGUACGCUUGAGCACAAAUAUUUUACACGAUGAUCAUCCUAAUCUCUUUUACACCUUGUAAUCUUCACUGUUACCAUAUAAAUUGCCUUUCAGAAGUCCAGAUCCCUAAAUUGGGGACGAUUUGAGAUGCGUGACGACAUGGACCUAACCUAACCUGUGCAAUAAUGUUACUACUACCCUAUAGAUGGUGAUAAACCAAAAGGAUCAAUUAAAAAAUGCUAUACUGCAGUGCAGGUCAUCAACCGACUCUUUCAAAUCAGUUCAUGCCCCAACAGUCUUUUGCUUCUUGGCGGUAUUAAUAUAGGGCCGCAGCACAAACUCGCUUUGCGCUUCAUUUUGUUCCACAGCUCCUAGUUUGAUCUGUCAGGCAAGCGCGAUAAACAUGUUAGUACCAGCAACCAGUAUUUGUGCCUCAGAAAAUGUGGUAAUGACCAGAUGCCGAGUGUUCCUGAUACCUGGUACAGCCGCAACUCAAAACGAGGACCAACCUCCUUCAACUCCAUCGAUCCGGGGCCGCCAGAUUUUUCGUAUACAUGAUGCCUUGCAUAUAACAAAACAAAAGGAGCUGUCAGUCAUAUAUGCAUAAAAGCUUCUCAGGAAGCAGAGCACAUACACAGUUACACACUAGUGCAUGACAGAAAUAUUGUACCUGAAAGAUAUGUACUCGUCUCUGUUGGCAAAAGUAAUUAUUCGCUUUGAAUCUGGCUUUGGCAUAAGAAAGAGGUGCUUGAGAAUAGUGGCAGUCCUUUCACCAACCUAGAAUACAAAUAGCAAGUUACCAAACUGUCAUGAACAAAGAUAGAAUACAAGGAUGGCUAACCUCUGCAGAAAACAAAAAAACAAGCUACUCUCCCUAGUAAAACUCUAAAGAGUGUUUAAGUUCCUACAAUCCAAUCUAAGUACUCUAGCAAUCAACCAGAGCCCAGAAUGCCUCCCGCCAACAUCAUCCAAAUUUGAGAUUUCUACAUGCUAACUCAAGCAGACAGAAAGUGAUGGUCAGAUCCAUAUUUGAGAUUUCUGCAUGCAAAAUCAAGCAAACAGAGAGCGAUGGUCAGAUGUCAAGUGUUUCAAGCUAAAUCAAGCAGUAUAUGUAAGUGGAGAUGCUCAGCUUAGAAGGUUUGAAUGGACUGAGAGUAGUCUUCACAGUAGUAACUAACUACAUCUCACGUUAAUGGUUAACAAGAAAAACAUCAUCAAAACCUGAAUUCUGCUCAUAUAUUAGGAUUCACAUGCAAUCCUAUCAAAUUCAGAACCCAACAAACCAGACCCCCACCUAACAAAAGGACAAGAAAUAAAAGGAAAAGUAAAACAUAUCAAAUACAACUGAUAGUGGAGAUUCUCUUGUUCAAAAAAAAGGUGGAAAUUCUCAGUCUUUGAAUCAUGAAUGGAUUCAAGUGUCAUCAAUGGAAAAAAUGUCUCAGGUUAACGAGAAAGACAUCACUGCACAACCCACAACACUGAAACAAGAAUGAAUAGCAAGCACAUCACAUUCACAGGUUAAUGAGACAAAUAUCAUCACAACAUAGGAGUUCUGUGGAUAUAUUAGGAUUCACAUGCAAGAUGUAACUCUGUUCAAUUUGAACAAAGAUUGACAGAACUAAACGGAGACGCCAAAAAAAAAUAGAACAAGGACAGAGAAACAUAGCAAACAAGUGACAGUGGAGGUUCUGAGCCUUGAGUUAUGAAUGGAUUUAGGUGUCUUUCAUGGAAUAAAGAUGUAUCAGGUUAACAAGAAAGUCAUCAUUGCAACGUCCCAAUAUUGUAAAAUAGGCAUGCACAUGCUGGGAUGCAGCAAGGCACAAAAGCGAAUGAAAAAGAUGGUUACAAAAGAGUGACACCCUCAACUUGUUAUAUCUUCAACAAUACCAAUGCUGCUCAGUUAUAGUUUUUGAAUGGAUAGAUGCUAUCCUCAUAGUAUGUCUCAGGUUAACGAGAAGUCCAUCAUGGCAGCCAUACAAAGCACUAAGCAAACUACAAACUGUAAUGUGAACACUUGCUUGCACUUAAACAAAGUUAACGUCAUGUUUUAUGUGACCAGGAAUGUAUUUUAGAAUGGAACUAUUGAGAAAUUAACCAAUGUACAACAUAGACAAGUCAACAAAACAACAAACUUGCUUGGAAACAGCAGCGGAAGCAGAAAAUGAAGCAAACAAAGCAGUAGCAGCAGCAGAUUAUGGAACUGGAGGUGCUCAGCAUCUUAUUAUUCAAAUCAUCAUCAUCAUAGUAGCAAUGUAUGCUUAACAAGAAGCUGUCAAUGGGAGGGAGGGAUGCAUGCAUGGAUAGAUAGAUACAUAUAUAUAUAUAUACACACACACAAACACACAAAGAGUGUGUUAGAGAGAGAGAGAGAGAGAGGAGAAUUCUUGAAAAGAUAUCAUCACAGCAGCCUCCAGUUCAUAAUGACUGCAUGGAUAUCCUCCUAAUAAUGGACAUGGAUUCCAUGCAAGUAAGCAAAAAGAUAAACAAAAACACCAUGGUAACCACUGCCACCACCACGCCUCACCAUAACCAGCCCCACAGACACUUCAUCGUAAGUAUGAAGUUGUUUACCCUGCUAUGGAAAGGCGUGACUUUUCAAGAACACAUAGUGAACAGGUCACCAUGACAACAAUGAUAAGGCAUGAAGGCAAAACGAUCCUGUCAGAACCCAACAAACCAGACCCCCACCCAACAAAAAAGACAUGAAAAUAGAAGGAAAAGCAAAACAUCAAGGCCAAGUGAAAGUGGAGAUUCUCAGUCUUUGAGAUAUGAAUGGAUUUAAGUGUCUUUCAUGGAAAGAACGUCUCAGGUUAACGAGAAAGACAUCAUUGAAAACUUCCAACAUUGUAAAAUAGCCUUGAGUUAUGAAUGGCCGAAUGGGUUAGGUGUCUUUCAUGGAAUAAAGAUGUAUCAAGUUAACAAGAAAGACAUCAUUGAAACCUUCCAACAUUGUAAAAUAGGCAUGUACAUGCUGGGAUGCAGCAAGGCACAAAAGGCAAAUUAAAAGAUGGUUACAAAAGUGUGCGACACUCUCAACUUGUUAUGUAUUCGGAUAAUAUCGAUGCUGCUCAGUUAUAGUUUUUGAAUGGAUAGAUGCUAUCCUCAUAGUAUGUCUCAGGUUAACGAGAAGUCCAUCAUGACAGCCACACAAACUGUAAGCAAACUACAAACUGUAAUGUGAACAUUUGCUUGCACUUAACAUGAUGUUUGAUGUGACCAGCACUAUAUUUUGGAAUGGGACUAUUGUUAAAUUAACCAAUCUACAACAUAGGCAAAUCAACAAAACAAGAAACUUAGCUUGGAAACAGCAUCGGAAGCAGAAAAUGUAGAAAGGAAUAACGCAAUAGCAGCAGCAGAUUAUGGAACUGGAGGUGCUCAGCAGCUUAUUAUUCAAAUGAAUAUCAUCAUCAUACUAGCAGUGUAUGCUUAACAAGUAGGUCUCAAUGGGAGAGAGGGAGGGAUAGAUUGGUAAUAUAGUGUAUAUCUAGGUGCAUAGCAAAAGCUAUGUAUCUAGAAAAGCCGAAAUGACUUAUAAUUUGGAAUGGAGGGGGUAUACAUGCGCACGCGCACGCGCACACACACAGACAGACAGACAGACAGACAGACAGACAGACAGACAGAGAGAGAGAGAGAGAGAGAGAGAGAGAGGUUCUUGGAAAGGCUAUCAUCAUGGCAGCCUCCAGUUCCUAAUGGUUGCAUGGAUUUACAUGCCAGUAAGGAAUAAACAAAUAAGAAAAAAAAACACCAUGGUAACCACUGCCACCACCACGCCCCGCCAUCACCAACCCCACACACACCAGAAUUUUCAUUGCAGGUAUGAAGUUGUUUACCUUGCUAUGAAAGUGCGUAACUUUCAAGCACACAUAGUGAACAGCUCACCAUGACAACAAAGAUAAGGUAUGAGGACAAAGCAGUUAAUUGCUUCCAUGAAACAGUGUGUGUAUGAUUUACCUGAGUUGAGAAGUUGUCAAGUACUAAAUGGGGGUAUGCUUCUGACAUUUUUCCCAUUGCCUUCCUGCCUCUAAUAUCAUGUCGUGUCACCUGACCACAACAACAAAAACUAAGGAUAUAACCGAGUCUGAGCAAUCAUUUUGUACACUUGUGCUACACAACAUCUCAGCAUAUAUAUACUUCCAAAAAGGUUAAGCACACCUACCACAUUGAGCAACCCGAAGUAUGCAGUUGGACCAUUCGGUAGAUGGGAGACGAUCAAACCAUCAGGUUGACCACGAUGUUCAUGGACCAAAAUAAGAUCUGUGAUAUUAUGUGACCGGCAUGACUCAACGAUUUCUGAUAUGACCUGCAGAUCAGUAAAAAGUGAAGAACACCUAAUUGUGCACAGCAAUAUGUUCAUUCAUUUACUACCUAUAUAAAAAUCAUGGACAACAAGUUCUAAUUUCUUGCAAGCAAUGCAUAGCAAGUACUGGAUAUGGUAUAAACAAAAGAACAAUAUCAUGGUAACUGCUGCUGCAAUAUACCUGGCCACCACGGUUCAUUCUCUGUGACAUGGGAAAGACAACCUUCAGCUCCUAGGAAGAGAACCAGAACGGGCGGUUAGCUGAAUGCAAUGCACCAUUUGGACUUACGGAAAGGAUCCAAAAGUUUCCAGGACAGCAGAAAUACCUUAACAAACUGAGUUAGCGGCGCGCUGGGAUUGCGAGACGUGGUGAAUAGUAUCUUGGGCUCCCGAACUGAGGCAGUAGCGUACUCGUUAUCGGCCAUGCUCUUAGGAACUGUAGCACCCAAUCACCGAUCCAAACAACCAAACAACGGAACAACACACGUUAGACAGAUCUCCCUACAAACAAACGUAAAAGAGCAAGGAGACUGCAUUACACUCGCUCGAGCAAAAAGAAGCCAUGGGAUGGAGGGAGGGGGUACGGGAACAACACGCACCUCGAGUCUCCUGGUCCUCGAGGUCGAUCUGCCUCCGCAGCUCGCGCACCUCGUUGCGGAGCUCGGUGGGGAUGGGCUUGCCCUCCUCGAGCGCCGCCCGGAUGCGGCGCUUCUUCUGGAACAGCGCCCGCUGGGAGGCCUCGCCGCUCUUGGAGUGCAGGUACUGCCGCCGGUCGCGCAUACGCCGCCGUAUCAUCUUCGCUUCCCACCUCCUCCACAACGCUUGCGCAGGGCCAGACUCGGCAAAACCCUAGGCGUAGGGUUCUUCUCCGGCGUAGGCGUCGGCGGCGGGGCCGGGGGCCGGCGCUCCUCGACAUAAUAGCUACCAAUGUGGGCCUAUAUGGGCUUGCACGACUGGGCCCGUUUGCUCUUUGCUAGGGCCUCGGGAGCAUCUCCAUGGCUGGAAAAAAACAGAGGAUUUUGGGUUGCAAAUUUUAUGGGCCAACAAAAAAAAACUUUUCUAGUCUCCUAUAUAUUUGGGGAAAAAAGUCUUAUUUUCCUCUCUAAGAGCAUCUCCAAGGGCUUUCCAUUCUCAGCUUUGCAUUUCAGGGGAUUUGCAAAGUUGCAAAUGAGUUUGCAAAGUUCCUAAAGGGGGGAUCUCCAACCGUUUUGCAUUCUCAUCAAGUCCUUUCCCGAAAAUUUUUCCCACGCGCCAUCCGGCCAAAAAAUUUCGCGCGCAGUGCCAGAUCGCGAUGAAGAUGUUGUGUGGCAGCGGCGAAGGGAGCUGUCGCGCGAUGAAGAAGCCGAGCGAUGAAGAAGCCGCGCGAUGAAGAAGUCGCGUGGCGGCAGCGGAGGGAGAUCGCGGGGGGGAGAUAAAUCGCGCGGGAGCCCUUUGGCGCGCCGAGUCGAGCAACCGCGAUGCCGUCCAAAAUAUUUCGCGCGAGGGGACCGAGCGGCCUACGUGGCGGACCGAAUUCCUUGCGAAUCCCAAAUGCAAAGCCUUGAGGAGGUUUGCAUAUAUGCAAAGUUUCCACCUCUAUUUGCAAACCUUACCAAAUUGCAAACCUCAUUUGCAAAGCCAUUGGAGAGGUGUUUUCUACUCUUUUUUGCAAAUUGGGCAAUGCAAAGUUGAUUUGCAAAGCCCUUGGAGAUGCUCUAAGAGCAUCUCCAAGGGAUUUUGCAAAUGAAUUUUGCAUUUGGUGUUGUUUGUAAAGUCCCAAACUCAUUUGCAAAGUGUAAAAAUAUUCCAACUCCAAGGGAUUUUGCAUUUAGACUUGGCAAACCUAAAGUGUGGACCUCACCCCCGAAUUUUUUUUUCACCGAUCGCGCCCGCGUGUUUGUUUCCUUCGCGCCAUUUUGACGUACGUCGUGCGUGCCAGUCGCCGCCCGGGCCAGGCGCCGCCAGUUGCCGCCCAGCCCAGGUCUUCGCGCCAAUCGCCGCCCCGCCCAGGCCGCGUUCGUCGUUCACGUCGGUUCGCGGACGGUGGCCACGCGCGGCAGCUGGAGGGAGGGCGGGCGCGCGCGGCAAGGAGGGCGGACGGGCGUAGAGAAAUCGCGCGGGGUGGGAGGGGGGCGGGGGGACGGAGUCCGACAUGAAAGGCCGAAAUUGUAGAUGCAAAGUGGUGGAAAGGUUUGCAUAUAUGCAAAGCCUCAACCUCUAUUUGCAAAGUUAACCAAAUUGCAAACCUUAUUUGCAAAACCAUUGGAGGGGUAUUUUCUACUCUUUUUUGCAAAUAGGGCAAUGCAAAAUUUAUUUGCAAAGCCCUUGGAGAUGCUCUAACUUUCACGAUAGUUCGUUUUUUUUCUCUCACAACUUCAAAACCGGUCACACCACCUCCUUAACUUUUUAAACCAUGUAUUUUACCUUUCUAGAGCAGUUUUAAAGGCGGUUUUGCUAUAGUAAAUAUUGGUUUUGCUACAAUGAUGUUGGUUUUGUCUUUUUUAUUAUUUAUUUCGGCUAAAUCUUUAAAAAUCAUAUAAAUCACAGGAAAAUCACAAAAUAGAUAACCUAAUUUUGUAGAUCUACACAGUGAACCUAUAAUAUGGUAUGCUUUAGUACAAAGUUUUUCUAUGAAGGUUUUAUCUUUUUCUUUUAUAUUUAUUUCAGCUAAAUUUUUAAAAAUUCAUAGUAAAUCACAGAAAAAUUAUAAAUUAAAAAAUCUAAUUUUGUUAGACUCCACAUGAACAUAUCUGCACAGUAAAUAUAUAAUAUGGUAUGCUUUAGUACAAAUUUUUUGUUAUAACUUUAUAUCAAUAUUUUUCUGUAGUUAAUUGAAAUAAUUCAAAAUUGCACCUUCUAUAAUUAUUUUGUUGUACUAAAUCAUAUCAUAUUAUAUGUUUACUAUGUAUAUCUAUCCAUGUGGAGUCCAACAAAAUUAGAUUUUCUUUUUUAUGAUUUUCUGUGAUUUACUAUGAUUUCACAUAUUCAGCAAAAAACUAUACCUAAAACAGGUAAAAUUUCCGCUAAUCUUUUGGUCUGGAUUUUUUUGGUCUGCCCACUCUAAUCAGCUAUGUCCCAUGCUCAAAAGUCUCCUCUGAUAAUGGACUUCAAUCUCCUCUCCUCUCCUUCCCAAAAUUGAAUCCAAACUGCAUACGACACGGACCUAGAACCGAACCAAACCAAAUGUGGAUUCAAAAUCGAGUCCAAAAUAAAAUCACGUACCAAAUGAAGUCCAAAACAAAUUGCAUGCCAAAUCUAUGAAAACCAUACCAAAUAAAAGACUACCAACAAAGAAAUCAUGGGAGCAUAGCGAUGCCGAGGCAAACCAUGCCAUCGUAGCCGUAGAUGGAGCUCGGGCGACCACGACCGCCGCCGCGGAUGCCCUGACGGCACGACCGCUCUUCCUCCUCCCCAGUCGCGCGUCAGGCUCUCCUCACUAGCACGGCCGCGUGACCCAUGCUCUGCCGUCUAACGCCGCCCUUCGUCCUCCUCCCCAGUGGCGCGCUGGGCCCCUCCUCGUCGGCACACCCACCCUCCACCUCCACCACACCGGAGAGCCCACGCGCCCGAAGCUCUGGCGAGCGCCCCACCCUCUACGCUGGCGCAGCCCGGAGGCUGUGCGCUUCUGCUGCGGCACCUCCGUAUCUUACCUGCAAAGCAAACGCCUUGAAACAUCUUGGAGCCAUGGGCCUCGGUUGCUGGACCUGCCUGUACGCAUGCGCCAUGGCCCGAAAACCAGAUGAUACCCUGAGCGGGCCGCCAAUGAGGCCUAAUACUAGCCCGUAGAGAGAGAAAGAGAGAAAAUAAAAGAAAGGGUAUUAUGGGUAUUUUAUGUUUUUACCUAGCAUAAUAAGGAGCUUUUUUUACCAAAUGUUUUACCAAAACAUGGUCAUCUCUAUUACUGUAGCUGCUUGUGGAGUUGAAGUAAAAAAUUGCUUCACUGGUAUAAAAUGUUUAUACCAAUUAUGUGUUAUUGGUCUUGAUCGGCUUUUUAACAAAAGAUGCAAUGUUUAUACCCUAACUAAAUUUACUGGUAUGUAGUAUGCUCAAUUGCAUUUGUUGAUUCUUUAAUGUUAUAAUAGGAAGUAGAAGUGAAAAUAUAUGCCCAUGACCCUUUGUGCGCUAUGUCAUAGAUGCAAUUGAUUACUUAAGUGGAAUAAAACAUAUUGAUGCAAAUUUAUUUACAUGCGUAUUUAUAACAUAAUGUUGAGUGCAAUAAAAUAUAAUGAUGUAAAUAAAAAAAUAUAGCUUUAAAGAUAAAACAACACAUACAUAUUAAGGCUUUGGGUGACGCCAUAUCUUUUCUCUCAUUACAAUGCACGGAUAUUUUUGCUAGUAAACAAAAAAAGAAGAAGACAAAACCUUCAUAGCAAAAACUUUAUAUUAAAGUAUGCUAUAUUAUAUGUUCACUAUAUAGAUCUACGUCCAACUAAAUAACCAAGAUGUCAUUAUUGCUUGCGUUGAAGAACUACUAGCUUGAGUAGUAGUUUUACCUUAACUCUUUUGCAGGCUACCGAUGUUGUAUGCCUCCAUUGCUAGUGCCCUCAUGUGCUCGCUUGUCCUCGGUACAAAAUACAUUGGAUAUAAAGUAACUAUAAGACAAACUAUUUUAGGUUCAAUAACUACUUUCUUAAUAGAGAAAAUUACCAACAGAUAUGAUGGUAAAUAAGUCAAAUAUAUUUCAUUCUAAAUAAGUACACUAAAAAUAUAUUUCAUGACAUGUGCACAAUUUAAUUUUGGUAUCAUAAAUAUUUGUAUUUUUAAAGUUGACUUUUUUCAUAUAGAUGUUGUUGCUUUUAUUUUGAUGUGGUGAAGGAUCUUUGACUCUGAGACUUGUCUUUGAAUACUUGAUACUCCAGUAAAUAAAUAACGAAAGGAGUAGUAAUCCAGUAAAUCUCAGGGAACGCGAUGUAUUAAAUGAGCACGCACUCUUUGACAGCUAGCAUUAUUGAUUGUAUACGAGUCCCUGAACGAGUACAAAUACUAGUCCGACGGAGAGCUUGGCAAUGCAAGCAGCUUGCCAAAACCCCUAUCACUCCUAGAAAAACUCGAAACGGCCGUUCGAGAAAUCCUUGCAGGGGGAUCGAUCGGAUCCAGAGGCCGGCCGCCGCGCCGGCGGGAGAGAUCGACGGCGACGUCGGACCGAGAUACUAGUAGAACAUAGCUGCGUGCGGUUAGCAGCCAUGCUCUUGGCCUACGUCCUCAUCUUCCUCCUCCAACUCUCCGCCUCUACCUGCUGCUAUGCCACCAGCCGGAACCAACACCUCCUCUUCGCUGGUCGCGCCACCGCCCUUUUGCCGCCGGCGGCGGCGAUCCAUCAUCACCAUCACCAUCGCCACACCGCCAAGCAGGCGGCAGAGGUACCCACAUGCAUGCACGCCGACGCCGAUUGCAUGCAGCUCGAUCAUCGUUCUAUACUUGCUCUCCUCCGAUCCCGACACGAUUUUGAUCUCGACCAGGCGCGCGCGCACGCGAUUGUUGUUGAUAUGCAGGUUCUGUCCGACUACAACGACGUGCGGCGGCAUUACCACCCUGCGAUGAUGGCGCGGUGGGGAGUAGGGGCACCGCCGCGGCCGCCGUCGACGUCGCCCAGCGUGGAGUUGUUGGCUGGAGUCGGAGGCUCGUCGUCGCCGCCGCCGCCGCCCUCGUUGUCCGCCGUGGAGCCUAACGCCGUCGAAGGCGCGCCACCGCCACCGCCGCCGCUGAUGCCGCCAGCAGGGAAGCAGGAAACCAGCGCGGCGAUGGAGCCGUCACCCUCGCUGCCACACGGCGAGGGGGCGUCGUCGUCGGACGCCUCUGAGAUGGGGCAUGAGGAGAGCCCGAGCGGCGACGACGUGGACGUGGACGCGGACUACGACGGGCCCAUGACGCACCCUCCCUCGCAUAACUAGUCCGGUUUCCGGUCUGCUCCGGCUCCGGCUCCGGCCGGCCGGCCCUUACCACAUGCAUGAUCGAAUCCAUGGCAGCAGACGAUGAUGGCGAUCAGUUUUCGGGCAGGCAUGCAUACGCGCGGAUCGGCAGAUGCAUAUACAUAUAUGCGCAUGCGUGUGUGAUCUUGCUUAUAUUAGUUAUUUGGUUGCAUUAGCUUCGCUAGUUAAGGUAUAUGAAUCUAGUUAGCAAUUAGUAUGAUCAGUAUAUGUAUAUAAAGCGCUCCGUAUAUAGCCCUCACUCUAAAAUUUUGUAUAUGGUGUUGAUUUUGGAAUAGUCAACGUCGUAUAAAAAAAAUUGGAGAGAGAAGUCAUAUAAAAGUGCAUGCUUGAGUUUCUCCAUGCAUAUGCAAUGCAGUCAUUAGCGGAGCCAGAAUUUUUUAGAGCUCGGACAGUUUUUAUUAUGUAAAAAUAUUUAGCUAGAAAAUUAUAUUGUUCUACUUUGACAGUAAGAUAUUUUCCCUUUAAACUUUGGCAGCGAGCCCGGCAGGCUGCCCGGGGUGGCCGGACGGUGGCUCCGCCACUGAAUGCAGUUGUUGGGUUGGUUUCUACUAUAUCUUUGCUCUCUUGUUGAAAGGUCUAUCAACCAUACCAGACUGAAUAUAGGAGGACCAAUCAUACUUCUAUCAAUCUAGCUCCUUAUCGUUUGUACUAAUAAAAACUAGGGCUUGGUGUUUCGAGCAUGACAGAGUUCAUUUUGUUUCUUUUUAAUGCAUUAUGUUUGUAUAUACUUGUACUUAACAAGGCAAAUUUGUGGUUGUUAAUCAUCAAUUGACUAAGUGAGAUCAUGGUUAAACUGACCUGUUGGCUCUCUUGAAACAUUCAGGAUUACUAUUCCCUCUGUUCCAAAAUGAUAAACAUGUUUUUGAUUAUAAAAAAGUCAAAUAUGAUAGGUUUUGACCAUUGAUUUCUCAUCAUACUAUAGGUUAUCAUUUACUACUAACGAAUCAAUAUCAUCACACACCCACUACAAGUCUAUUGAUACAAGUUUCUGUCCUAAAUUUGUUAUUUGAAUAGUGAUAUUCGUUAAUGUUUGUAUUAAGUUGACCUUUUGAGUACAAAACACGGUUAUCAUUCCAGGACGCACUAGUAUUCAUGAAUAAAUACUGAGUCAAAAGAUCCUGGUUUCAAUAAAAAAAAUCUUUUUUAACAUUAUGGAUUAUUCCUUCCGUCAAUUCUCAUUUUUUUAAAGUCAAACUGUUUGAACUUUAACUAAAUUUAUAUAAAAAAUACUAACAUUUAUGAUAUAAAAUAAGUUUUAUUAGUUUAGUUACAGAAUAUAUUUUUAUAAUAAAAAAUUUGUGGUACUCCCUCCGUACCUGAUUUAAUAGACGUCCUGGCCAGCAUUAAGAUUGACGUUCGCAGGGCAUGGAUGCCGUUUUGGACACGAAUGCCCCUGCGCGCGAACGUCCAUCCACGCCCAACCAGGAGUCGAACCUGCGACCAACAGCCUCGCAUCCCAGGAAGCUAACCAAUCGAGUUACGAAAACUAUCUGCCAAGAUUCCACGCGCAAACGUAUUUAAAAGGAGCAAAUCAGGAAACUAUCAUCUAAUUAAUCACUCCUUAGUUAUCACAAUCUUGUCCUAAACGUCUAUUAAAAUGGGUUUGGAGGGAGUACAACUGAACUCAAUGAAACAAUUGGUCAGGUUUGGUUGGAUCCUAGGGCUAUCUAGGGUGCUCCAACCACAGCCAGUAGUUGGAAAUACUUUGUUGAAUUAAUGAACCUGAUUACCUGAAGGUACGUACAAGCAUGUUCCAUUGAAGUGGAGAGUUAAUGUGAUUAGGUCUGAUUGGUGGAAUCAGGACUAGCGGCUACUACUCCAGUAGCUAGGGUUUUGAAAACGAGUCAUCUUGGGAACGUUGGAGCCAAUAGCUCCGGCCGGUGGCACCCCUUGACCCCUUGCUGGCGACAUAUAUGGCCGGGCCGCCCGGGCCAGCACCAGCACCAGCAUUGCAUGUGUUCCGGCCGCUGCCACAGUCAGCAGAGGUGUACGUACGUAAGACUGGCAGCUAGCAGACGAGGAGGUAGCAGCUAGCAGAAGUCGCAACUCGCAAGUUAAGGAUUUGUGCUGACUUCCAUGAAAGUGCACUUCCCCGAGAGAGAGAGAGAGCACCUACCUACCUAUGCUCAGGCCAGGUCCACCAGGUAGCAUGCAUGUUGAGGCCUUGUUUAGUUUCCAAUUUUUUUAAAAAUUCUUCAUCAUAUUAAAUCUUUGUAUGUAUACAUGAAACAUUAAAUAUAGACACAAAUAAAAACUAAUUAUACAGUUUACAUGUAAUUUGCAAGACAAAUCUUUUGAGCCUAGUUAGUUCAUAAUUAGAUAAUAAUUGUUAUAUACAAACGAAAGUGCUAUAAUAACCAAAGCCAAAAUUUUUCACGAACCGAACAAUAACUGAAUUGUUGACCUCACAACCAUGUGUAGAUAGAGGUUGUACUUGGGAAAAGAUUCAGCCCCGUUUUAGUUUGGUACAAUUUCAGCGGCUUCAAUUCUCUACUUCGGCAGAUGGGCUUUGUUUAGUUCCGAAAAGAUUUCGGAAUUCGGUACUGUAGUAUUUUUGUUUUUAUUUGAUAAAUAUUAUCCAUUCAUAACUAACUAGACUCAAAAGAUUCAUCUCGUGAUUUACACUGUGCAAUUAGUUUUUAUUUUCGUCUAUAUCUAAUGCUUCAUGCAUGUGCCCCAAAAUUCGAUGUGACGAAGAAUCUUGAAAAGUUUUUGGUUUUCGGGGUGAACUAAACAAGACCGUGGUUUGUAUCUCUCAUCAUUUUAAAAUGAACAAAGAGCCGUGCGCUAAAGCCACUAUUUAUGGCUUCACUCUCCACACACACACCGUGCCAAGAAGGUGAAGUUGUAUCAAAGGUGCCUCACGAGCUGGCUUUUAUCAUGGGACGGCCGUGGUGGCCUUACGUGUGUCGUCAAUUCAGAAUCAUCCAGAGCCUAGUUUUUCUUUUCAUAUGCUUCUCCUACAUUUACAGAAAGGCUAAACAUCAACCGGUUGUUUCUCUAGUUUUGGUCAACUGACUUUUGGAACUUUUGAUUUGGGCACGAUUUGACGCUGAGCUGAUUGUUGAUCGUCCAAUUUGAGCAUGGUUCAGAGCUGAGCUGAUUGAUGACGACUCACGUACGCGUGCCGACCAACCGUCGACGGGACAUUGCCACCGGAUGACGAGAUGGCUGGCAGUCUGCCACCGGGCGCCCUGCUAGGUGAGCAUGCACGCGUGCUCACCUUUGUUGCGCCGCUGCUCACGGUCCUCGUUGGUAAACACAGGUCUCUACUAGGUCUCCACCAGCAAUAGGGGGCCACUAGCAAGUUCUCCAGCGCUAGCGACCUCGAUCUAGGAGCCCACCUCGGUGCUUGACCAUUAGCACAGCCUCAACCCGAGAAUGCCAAUCUUGGCUUACACAUUGUCGUUGCCCUUGGGGCAGCGCCAUUGUUGGUGUGGCGUUAUUUGUGGGAGGAAGAUACAAUGACGACACGUGGUCAUGCAACGUGAGCUAUGCAUCACCAUGAAGGAAGAGAGGGCAAGAUCAGUCAGCUGCAGAUGAGCAGACAGAUCUUGUGGAGUAGUAGAGUUGAGGAAAAAUAUGAUAAGAGCAGCCAGUGGUGCUAAUCGCAAUCAUGAAAGAUGCGUCGUAGUGCUCUCGCCCAGAUAUAUGCUUCGACCUCCUCCUAGCUACCCACACUAAUGGCGCUAAUUGGGUGGUGCACUUGCCCACACUUUUACAAACCUGAACGACCAUGGAGAGGUAGUUGUUGGCAUUGUUGUUGCCGGGUCCAGGCAUCUCUAUGCCCUCAGUUCUCGCCCAACUUGUAUGUGUGACUAGGUUCAUGCAUUAGUCGCGGUAGGGCCGGCCUAGUCGGCAACGUAGAAGGCAUGGCCGGCUUCUGCGGGCACACGAGCACUUAUGCCAGCGUAUACCAUGUCGGCAAAGGAAAAAGUCUACUUUUAGGUCCCUUAACUUUCGCGAAAGUCUGAUUUUCAUCCUUGAACUCUAAAACCGGAUAAAAUACAUCCUUCAACUUUUAAACCGUGCACAUUAUAUCCUUGACCUGGUUUUGAAAGCGGUUUUAUCUUUUUCUUUUUAUUUAUGUUGGCUAAAUUUUUUUAAAAAACACAGUAAAUCACAUAAAAAUCAUAAAAUAGAAAACUCAAUUUUGUUAGACUUCAGAUCAGUAGAUCUACACAUUGAAUAUAUAAUAUAGUAUGUUCUAGUACAAAUUUUUUUAUGCAUCUUUAGAUCUAUGUUUUUCUGUAAUUAAUUAGACUAAUUAUAGCUACAUUUUCUAUGGUCUAAUUGUGAUGAAAUUUAUAUGGUGAGCUAAUUAUUCUAUGUUUGAGUUAUAGUAAAAAUUUUAUACUCAUUGAAUCAUGUAUUACUUAGUUAUAGAUUUAUUUAGGUUUAUGCUUGUUAAAUUAUAAUAAAUCUUAACUAAGUUAUACAUGAUCUAAUGAGUAUGAAUUUUUUACCAUAGUUUAAACAUAUAAUAAUUAGUCUAACAUAAAAAAUUCACCACAAUUGAACCAUACAAACUAUAGCUAUAAAUUAUUCUAAUUAAUUAUAGAAAAACAGUUCUAAAGCUACAAUAAAAAUUUUGUACUAAAGCAUACUAUAUUAUAUAUUCACUAUGUAGAUCUACUUAUCUGGAGUCCAACAAAAUUAGAUUUAUUAUUUUAUAAAUUUUAUAUGAUUUACUAUAAUUUUACAAAUAUUCAGCCAAAAUAAAUAAAAAUGAAAAAGACAAAACUGCCUUCAAAACCGCUCAUAACCAUGUCAGGGACGUAAUAUGCAUGGUUUCAAAAAUUGAGGGAUGUAUUUUACCCGGUUUGAAAGUUCAGGGAUGAAAAACAGACUUUUGCGAAAGUUGAGGGGACUUCUUCCGUCGGCAAAUGGGUCUAGCUUGGACCCAGACAUAAUGUAGUUCUAGUACACAUAAUAACUUCGACCCAUGACUUAGAGUGUUGUGCUAUUUAUUUGUGGGUGGAGCUAGAGUGUUCGUGUUUUAUUUUAUUUUAUUUUAAUUUUUUAUAAACGGGCGUUGGUUUGGUGGACCAGAGAAAGACGGGAUGAAUUGGGCCUUGUCGGCUACAUGCCUAUAUGGGCUUAGACGAUAUAUUUGGACCCACACAUUGUAGCCCAACUCAUGAUGUUUCUAUCCACAGAGCAAGCCCACAACAGACACCUUUGCCUCCGGUCAACCAGUCGAGCUUUGCCUCCGCGUUGACUGCGCACAAUAGGCAGUACCCCACCCAUCCCCACCGUCCGUCCCCCAUCCAACGUCCCACCUGCCCCCAAAUCCAUAGGCGGUUCCGCAUUGCGCUAUUGCCGUAUCCCCGCACCCAGUCCACAUACACCAACACAUCCUCCCCCACCGCCUCUACGUGUACCACCAUACACCGGCGCCCACGCGCCCGCCAGCCAAGCCAGCGCAGGAUAGCCUCCGCGGCGCACGCUACGUCUAUAAAUACACCCCUACCCCUUCCUCCCCGAGCCCUUUCCUCAGAGGCACCCUCAGGAUCCCCUUUCCCCUUCCUCCCAACUCGCGGAGGGCGGGGCGCGCGGAUCUGUCGGCCGGGGCCGAUCCAUCCAUCCAUCCAUUCGAUUCCACCGGGCGCGGCCGCCAAAAACACACUAGCUAAGCUCGACGCAGCGAGCGGUGCCGCGGGAGCGCCGGUGGCGGGGCGGCGCAGCGCGCAGCGAUUUGAAACCCUAGGUGGUGGUGGUGGUGGGCGGCGCCGCCGCCGGGUGUAGCCGAGAUGGACGCGAGGUUCCCGUACUCGCCGGCCGAGGUGGCCAAGGUCGAGCUCGUGCAGUUCGGCAUCCUCAGCCCCGACGAGAUCGUAAUACCCCUCGCACCCCCCCUCCCCUCCCUGCUUUUGUCGUUCGAGCGGGUCGAGGGUUGAGUUGAGUGGUCAGCUUAGUGUAGCUGGACAAUGGCUGUUUGCUAGUUUACCAGUACCAACUCGUUUCUGAUGUCAGGAUUCUAGUUCAGGGCAUGAUUUCGUGUAAUUCAUGCUGGGUUUGAGUGUCUUGAGCUUCACUAUCGGCUUGCCUGGUUGGUCUUGGUGAAUUCAAGCAAUUCGAGUGUAGUACAACUGUGCAGACCUUAAUUCCCUAAAAUUUAGCAUCAUUAGGAAAAAAGAAGAAGAUGUAUUGCUGCUUGAAACCUGGAACUAUGUAUAUACGCCGCUGCUGGAACUUUGGAAAGUAUUACACAUAGAGGGAAUAUAUGGUUGAGUUUGAACUUGGCCUUUCUACUUGGUACAUAAGUUUCGAGGUGAUAUGAUGAAUUAAUGUGAUGUUGUGAUCCACACAGUGCAUGAGAGAGCUUCAACCUGGUUGUGUGCUUUUACAAUUUGGGCACAUCUGUAUGUUCUUAAGUGACCUAAUCUGUUUCGUGUAGUAUGGUUCUGAUUCUGUCGAGUUCAACUUCAACUGAAACAGUUGUGUGUUCCAUACGAACAUAACGGAAAUUCCAUGUCAGUUAGUAACAAGAUGACAUUGCUCCUGAGUUUGUUUAACCGUAUAAUUUAUUGUGCUGAAUAGUAAUGCUUUCAUUAAAAGGUUAUUCUACUUUGUUUGUAUGAAACAGUGUGUGUUCCGUACGUGCAUAACGGAAAUUCCAUCUUCCAUGUCAGUUAGUAACAAGAUGACAUUGCUCCUGAGUUUGUUUAACCGGAUAAUUUAUUGUGCCGAAUAAUAAUGCUUCCAUUAAAAGGUUAUUCUGCUUUGUUUGUAUGAAACAGUUGUGUGUUCCGUACGUGCAUAACGGAAAUUCCAUAACAAGAUGAUGUUGCUCCUGAGUUUGUUUAACUGUAUAAUUAAUAAUUUAUUGCGCUGAAUAGUAACGCUUUCAUUAAAAGGUUAUUCUGCUUUGUUUCUAUGCGGUGAGUGAGGAACUGUUUCCAGGGAUAGGAACUAAUGACUAUUGAUUUCUUUUUGCUUUUGUGUAGAGACAAAUGUCGGUGGUUCAAAUAGAACAUGCAGAGACCAUGGAGAGGGGAAAACCGAAGCCUGGUGGGCUCAGUGACCCUCGAUUGGGGACUAUCGACCGGAAAAUUAAGUGCGAGACAUGCAUGGCAGGGAUGGCAGAGUGCCCAGGCCACUUUGGGCACCUUGAGCUUGCCAAGCCGAUGUUCCACAUCGGAUUCAUUAAGACUGUGCUCUCCAUCAUGCGCUGUGUUUGCUUUAACUGCUCCAAGAUCCUUGCGGAUGAGGUAUCCUUUGGCUCAGUUGUUGCUUGAUAUGUGUGUAUAUAUUGCUAUACUGGAAGGAGUUGUCAUUUUAAAUCGAGGCGUGAUAAACUGAAAAUGGAAGUGUUCUAACCAUUCAAUACCUAUGAAAAGUACAGUUGCCCCAUUUACUCUACUCAGCGUUGUUCACGUUAGCACCUUUUCUCACUAGCCAUUAACUUUUUGAGGUAUCAUUAUAGCAUGUAAACUGCGAUUAUUUUACUUUUCCUUUACCAUCCUAUGACCUAAUAUGUCUUCAUGGUUUGUUCUAACAUGUUUGAUGAAGCUUAUAAGCUUAUGUGUGUAUAUUUUGUAUUCAUUGCAUUAUUCCUAUAGUGAUGAGGACUGUGGAACUCGACCAAACACCAAGUUUUGAGUCUUUUUCAUGAGCUCUGGUUCAAGUGUUCAGAGACAUUUGACCACUUAAUUAGAUGCUUAUAAUGUUUAGCAUUUGUGUUUCCAAAGCAAAUUAACUUCACAUUUAAUCACCAUUUAUCCAUUUUUUUAUCUUGCAGGAUGAAACCAAAUUUAAGCAGGCUCUAAAAAUCAGGAAUCCAAAGAAUAGAUUGAAGAGAAUAUAUGAUGCUUGCAAGAGCAAAAAAGUCUGUGCAGGUGGCGAUGACCUUGAUGUUCAGGAGCAGGAUACUGACGAGCCUGUUAAGAAAAGAGGUGGCUGUGGUGCUCAGCAGCCAAAUAUUACAGUAGAUGGUAUGAAGAUGGUCGCAGAGUUUAAAGCUCCAAAGAAGAAAAGUGAUGAUCAGGAUCAACUCCCUGAGCCAGUGGAACGCAAGCAAAUCCUUUCAGCUGAGAGGGUAUUUCUAUAAUCACUAUUCAGCUUAUGCUACUGCUUGUAAUUGGUUUCUUACAUGGCUUGUUUGACCAGGUCCUUAAUGUUCUAAAGCGUAUAAGCGAUGAGGACUGUCUUCUGUUGGGCCUGAAUCCCAAAUAUGCCCGUCCUGAUUGGAUGAUACUUCAAGUUCUUCCAGUCCCUCCACCCCCUGUUAGACCAUCUGUCAUGAUGGACACUUCUUCCAGAAGUGAGGUAAGUCUAAUACCAAUAUACUCCCUCCGUUCCAAAAUAAACUGCUUUGUAGAAAUUUUCAGAUAGAUUAAGAAUGCUGGCAAAAGACACGUAUAUCCUCACCUCCUUUCCUUUCCUUUCCCAUAGGAUAUCUCCUGACUUUGGUAGUUAUCAUUUGCAUGCACCCAUGAUUAAUUUCUGCAUUAGGAGUCAAUGUCCCAUGUUUUUGUAGAAUGCUAUUUUUUGGGACAAAUUUUAAACCUCAAAAAGUCAUUUAUUUUGGGACAGAGGGGAGUAGAAUUAUUUUGUGUCUAAUUUUGCAUGGAUGGAGAAGUGCAACCUUGUUGCUCACUGAUACUUUUAAUAAAUAUGUUUAAGGGGCUACUACUUCAGUCCCUGUUGUAAAGAAGGUAUUUAUUUCACAGCUCCUCACUGUGAUUCUUCAUUGCCUUUUUGCUGUUUCUGCAGGAUGAUUUGACUCAUCAGUUAGCUAUGAUAAUACGGCAUAAUGAGAACUUGAGGAGGCAAGAGAGAAAUGGUGCUCCAGCUCACAUUAUAACAGAGUUUGCUCAGUUGUUGCAAUUUCAUAUUGCAACAUACUUUGAUAAUGAACUUCCUGGCCAACCCAGGGUGAGUGGUUUAGAAUGUUACUUUGCAUGUAUAAAACCUAUGGAUAUCAGGAUAAUUUUGAUUGAUCGUUUUUUUCUAUGCUCAGGCCACGCAGCGUUCUGGAAGGCCUAUUAAAUCAAUUUGCAGCAGGCUGAAAGCUAAAGAAGGCCGAAUUAGAGGAAACUUGAUGGGCAAGCGUGUUGAUUUCUCGGCACGUACUGUUAUUACACCAGAUCCAAACAUAAACAUUGAUGAGUUGGGAGUACCAUGGAGCAUUGCUUUGAACCUGACAUAUCCUGAAACUGUCACUCCAUAUAAUAUUGAGAGGUGAUUCAGUUUGUUUUUAUUGACAACUGUUAUUUAAUUACUGUGCUUUUGCUGAUCAUUUGCAGCUAAAUCCAAUGAUUUCAGGUUGAAGGAACUUGUUGAAUAUGGGCCUCACCCUCCCCCAGGGAAGACCGGUGCAAAGUACAUUAUCAGGGAAGAUGGUCAGAGGCUUGAUCUUCGAUAUGUGAAGAAAAGCAGCGAUCAGCAUCUGGAGCUUGGUUACAAGGUAUCAACCUCCCUAUGACUGUAGAAGCUCAUUUGCAGCUAAAAUUGUUUUAUGUUUUGACUCAUUUUGUGCCGGAUUUCCUCAGGUGGAAAGACAUCUCAAUGAUGGGGAUUUUGUUCUUUUCAAUCGGCAACCAAGUCUUCAUAAAAUGUCUAUCAUGGGGCAUCGCAUCAAAAUUAUGCCCUACUCAACUUUCCGGUUGAACUUGUCUGUCACUUCACCAUACAAUGCUGACUUUGAUGGUGAUGAGAUGAAUAUGCAUGUGCCCCAGUCAUUUGAGACCAGGGCAGAAGUUCUGGAGUUAAUGAUGGUGCCAAAAUGCAUUGUCUCUCCACAAUCAAAUAGGCCUGUCAUGGGUAUUGUCCAAGACACACUGCUUGGUUGUCGCAAAAUUACUAAAAGGGACACUCUAAUUGAAAAGGUGAAUAAAAAUAAAUUUCACUUGUCCUUUCCAAUUGUAUUCUGUUCAGUUUUGUGGCUCAUUUAAAUUUCAUUCCAGGAUGUAUUUAUGAACAUCUUGAUGUGGUGGCAAGACUUUGAUGGAAAGAUUCCUGCACCUGCCAUUUUGAAACCUAGGCCUAUUUGGACUGGGAAACAAGUUUUUAACUUAAUUAUCCCCAAGCAAAUAAAUUUAAUACGGUUUUCAGCAUGGCAUUCGGAAGAAGAAAAGGGAUUUAUUACUCCUGGUGAUACUAUGGUCAGGAUAGAGAAGGGAGAGCUUCUGUCUGGUACACUUUGCAAGAAGAGUCUUGGAACAGGCACUGGAAGUCUUAUCCAUAUCAUUUGGUAAUUAUGCCUAAUCUGAAUUUUACUUGUUGAAAGUUGCAUGACAAUGAGAAAUAUUGCCUGUUUCCAUUUUUCUAAGCAAAUCCUGUUUUGACUUUGUUCUUUUCAGGGAAGAGGUUGGUCCUGAUGCUGCCCGGAAGUUCUUAGGACAUACACAGUGGCUUGUAAACUACUGGCUUCUUCAAAAUGGUUUCAGUAUUGGAAUUGGGGAUACCAUUGCAGAUGCUUCCACCAUGCAAACGAUUAAUGACACAAUUUGUAAAGCAAAGGAUGAGGUGAAGGAGCUUAUUAAAAAAGCACAUGAGAAGCAGUUGGAAGCUGAGCCAGGACGCACCAUGAUGGAGUCAUUUGAAAACAGAGUGAACCAGGUACCGAUUGCUUCUGUUUUGCUUUCAUUAUUAUAUACUCCCUCCAACCCAAAUUUUAAGUCAUUCCAAGAAUCUUGGAGAGUCAAAGCAUCUCAAGUUUGACCAAAAUUAUAGAAAAAAUUACAAAGUUUUGAGGCAUCAAAUAGAUAUACUAUAAAAAUAUAAUUAAUGAAGAACCUAAUGAUACUCAGUUGAUAUCAUAAAUGUUAUUAUCCUACUAUAUAAAUUUGGUCAAACUUGAGGUGCUUUGAUUCUUCAAGAUUCUUGGAAUGACUUAUAAUUUGGGAUGGAGGGAGUAUCCUUUGUUUAUGUCAUUCAGGGCAAUAUUCAGCGUUUAGGUCGAGUUGUUUUAACCUCAAUACAAUCCCUUUCUGUUCAGGUUCUUAACAAAGCUCGUGAUGAUGCUGGGAGCAGUGCUCAGAAGAGCUUGUCUGAAAGCAACAAUUUGAAGGCUAUGGUCACUGCAGGCUCAAAAGGAAGUUUCAUUAACAUUUCACAAAUGACUGCUUGUGUGGGACAGCAGAAUGUUGAGGGCAAGCGGAUCCCUUUUGGUUUCAUUGAUCGGACGUUGCCACAUUUCACAAAAGAUGAUUAUGGUCCUGAAAGUCGUGGAUUUGUGGAAAAUUCUUACCUCCGAGGUCUGACACCACAAGAAUUUUUCUUUCACGCUAUGGGUGGUAGAGAAGGUCUUAUAGAUACUGCUGUGAAGACCUCUGAGACAGGGUAUAUCCAGAGGAGACUUGUGAAAGCUAUGGAGGACAUCAUGGUUAAAUACGAUGGUACUGUAAGAAAUUCUCUGGGAGAUGUCAUUCAGUUCUUGUAUGGGGAAGAUGGCAUGGAUGCUGUUUGGAUUGAAUCUCAAAAAUUGGACUCAUUGAAGAUGAAGAAGCCUGAGUUUGAUAAUUUGUUCCGUUAUGAGCUGGAUGACGAGAACUGGAGACCUAACUACAUGCUACCAGAACAUGUUGACGAUUUGAAGACCAUACGUGAAUUUAGAAAUGUGUUUGAGGCAGAGGUUCAAAAGCUAGAAGCUGAUCGGUACCAGCUUGGGACUGAGAUUGCCACAACUGGUGACAAUUCAUGGCCUAUGCCUGUGAAUCUCAAGCGGCUCAUCUGGAAUGCUCAGAAGACAUUCAGGAUUGAUUUUAGAAGACCUUCUGACAUGCACCCUAUGGAAAUUGUAGAAGCGGUAGAUAAACUGCAAGAAAGACUUAAGGUUGUACCUGGUGAUGAUCCCAUGAGCAUUGAGGCUCAGAAGAAUGCAACCUUGUUCUUUAAUAUCCUGCUUCGUAGCACGUUUGCUAGCAAGAGGGUCUUGAAGGAAUACAGGCUUACAAAGGAAGCUUUUGAAUGGGUUAUCGGUGAGAUUGAAUCGAGGUUUCUUCAGUCUUUGGUGGCCCCUGGUGAGAUGAUUGGAUGUGUGGCUGCACAAUCAAUUGGAGAACCAGCAACACAGAUGACCCUAAAUACCUUCCAUUAUGCUGGUGUCAGUGCCAAGAAUGUCACCCUUGGAGUUCCCAGGUUGAGGGAGAUCAUUAAUGUUGCCAAGAAGAUAAAGACUCCAUCUUUGUCUGUUUACCUGAAGCCUGAGGUGAACCAGAAGAAAGAAUUGGCUAAGAAUGUCCAGUGUGCUUUGGAGUACACCACACUGCGUAGUGUUACCCACGCCACAGAGAUAUGGUAUGAUCCUGAUCCGCUAGGAACCAUCAUCGAAGAGGAUGCAGAGUUUGUUCAGUCCUAUUACGAAAUGCCUGAUGAGGAUAUUGACCCGGAUAAAAUUUCUCCUUGGCUGCUGCGUAUUGAGCUUAAUCGUGAGAUGAUGGUUGAUAAGAAGUUGAGCAUGGCUGAUAUUGCCGACAAGAUUAACCGUGAGUUUGAUGAUGACUUAUCAUGCAUUUUCAAUGAUGAUAAUGCGGAUAAGCUCAUCCUCCGUAUCCGCAUCACAAAUGAUGAAGCUCCAAAAGGAGAAAUACAAGAUGAGUCUGCUGAGGAUGAUGUCUUCCUAAAAAAGAUAGAGGGUAAUAUGUUGACAGAGAUGGCGCUUCGAGGCAUUCCAGAUAUCAACAAAGUGUUCAUCAAAGAAGGGAAGGUCAAUACUUUUUAUCAAGACGAAGGUUUCAAAGCAGCCAAUGAAUGGAUGCUCGAUACAGAAGGUGUGAAUCUCUUAGCUGUCAUGUGUCAUGAGGAUGUUGAUGCUACAAGGACAACAAGUAACCAUCUGAUUGAAGUGAUUGAGGUACUUGGAAUUGAGGCUGUCCGUCGAUCUCUCUUGGAUGAGCUUCGGGUGGUGAUAUCUUUCGAUGGAUCCUAUGUGAACUACAGGCAUCUGGCCAUUCUUUGUGAUACAAUGACAUACAGAGGUCACCUAAUGGCGAUUACAAGGCAUGGUAUCAACCGCAAUGACACUGGGCCUCUUAUGAGAUGUUCCUUUGAAGAGACUGUUGACAUCUUACUUGAUGCUGCUGUAUAUGCUGAAUCUGACCACCUGAGAGGUGUCACUGAAAACAUAAUGCUUGGUCAGCUUGCUCCUAUUGGUACUGGAGGCUGUGCGCUAUAUCUGAAUGACCAGAUGUUGCAGCAGGCAAUUGAACUUCAACUUCCAAGCUAUGUGGAAGGCCUGGACUUCGGCAUGACACCAGCACGAUCACCCAUCUCUGGGACACCUUACCAUGAAGGAAUGAUGUCCCCAAGUUAUCUGCUGAGUCCAAACAUCAGGGCUUCCCCCAUUAAUACAGAUGCUUCGUUCUCACCAUAUGUUGGGCACAUGGCAUUCUCACCAUUCCCUUCACCAGGUGGUUACUCUCCAUCGUCAGGGGGAUACAGUCCAUCUUCUCCUGUUUUCACCCCAGAGAAAGGAUAUAGCCCUCUUUCUCCAUCAUACAGCCCUGCAUCGCCAAGCUAUAGUCCCACCUCACCAUCAUAUACACCUGGCUCUCCCACCUACAGUCCCACAAGCCCGAAUUACUCCCCAACAAGUCCGACUUACUCGCCUACCAGUCCAUCAUACUCACCCACAUCUCCGAGUUACAGCCCAACAUCUCCUAGCUACAGUCCUACAUCACCAAGCUACAGCCCUACAUCUCCUAGUUAUAGUCCUACAUCACCAAGUUACAGCCCCACCUCACCAGUUUAUAGCCCUACAUCUCCAGCAUACAGCCCUACAUCUCCCGCAUAUAGCCCCACAUCACCAUCUUACAGUCCAACUUCGCCAUCUUAUAGCCCUACAUCACCAUCAUACAGCCCAACAUCCCCCUCAUACAGCCCUACCUCCCCCUCAUACAGCCCUACCUCCCCCUCAUACAGCCCUACCUCCCCCUCGUACAGCCCAACAUCACCUGCAUACAGCCCUACUUCGCCAGGAUACAGCCCAACAUCACCGAGCUACAGUCCUACUUCUCCGAGCUACAGUCCUACUUCUCCGAGCUACAAUCCUUCAUCAGCCAAGUACAGCCCUUCGCAUGCAUA